rnacentral:rRNA from 1 species
UACGGAGGGUGCGAGCGUUGUCCGGAAUCACUGGGCGUAAAGGGCGCGUAGGUGGCGCGGCCAGUCAGCGGUGAAAGUUCGGGGCUCAACCCCGAAUCGGCCGUCGAUACUCCCGGGCUCGAGCACUGUAGAGGCUAAUGGAGUUCCGGGUGUAGCGGUGGAAUGCGUAGAGAUCCGGAAGAACACCGGUGGCGAAGGCGGUUAGCUGGGCAGUUGCUGACACUGAGGCGCGACAGCGUGGGGAGCAAACAGG